ACAAACUUGGUCAUUUAGAGGAAGUAAAAGUCGUAACAAGGUUUCCGUAGGUGAACCUGCGGAAGGAUCAUUACCGAGCAUGAAUUUUACGUUCAUGAUCAUCCAGUGUGUAUCUGUAGCCGUUGCUUCCGUGGUGCAAAUGACUCCAGACGUCAUCUGUAUUCCUUUCAGCUGUUAGGAAUACUCUCACGGAUGUUUGUAGCAAUUCUGAUUGAUGAAUGUUGUCUGAGUGCUGUGACAGUUUGUAUAUGAAAAAACUUUCAACAAUGGAUCUCUUGGUUCUCGCAUCGAUGAAGAACGCAGC
rnacentral:misc_RNA from 1 species